GAUGAAGAACGCAGUGAAAUGCGAUAAGUAGUGUGAAUUGCAGAAUUUCCGUGAGUCAUCGAAUCUUUGAACGCACAUUGCGCCCUUUGGUAUUCCUUAGGGCAUGCCUGUUCGAGCGUCAUUUAAACCUUCAAGCUCAGCUUGGUGUUGGGUGACUGUCCGCUUCACCGCGGACUCGCCUCAAAAUUAUUGGCGGCCGGUACAUUGGCUCUCGAGCGCAGCAGAAACGCGUAACUCGAGGUCCUCGUGCUGGCUCCCAGAAGCUAUCUUCACAAUUUUGACCUCGGAUCAGGUAGGGAUACCCGCUAAACUUAAGCAUAUCAAUAAGCGGAGGA
rnacentral:misc_RNA from 1 species